CCUACGGGAGGCAGCAGUGGGGAAUUUUGGACAAUGGGGGAAACCCUGAUCCAGCCAUGCCGCGUGAGUGAAGAAGGCCUUCGGGUUGUAAAGCUCUUUCAGCCGGAACGAAACGGUCACGGUUAAUACCCGUGACAACUGACGGUACCGGA
rnacentral:rRNA from 1 species